rnacentral:sRNA from 1 species
GCUCGGAUGCAAUCGGGACCUCCUCCCGGGCUGGGCCGGGGGCGGGCUCCCGGACCCAGGGCGCCGGGAGCCGGCGGACUACCUGCGAGUCGAGUUAGCGUUGUCGCCGAACCGAAGUGAGAGGGCACGGGGAAGCGUGCCGAAGCGCUGGAGGGAGCUUCACGGACGCGAGCUAGGCAUCGGCUCGCCUAAUCCGGUACUAAUCCGGCUUGCUGCUUCCCGUCCAGGCCUCGCUCGCCAUGGGGGAGGUGGAGAUCUCGGCCCUGGCCUACGUGAAGAUGUGCCUGCAUGCUGCCCGGUACCCACACGCCGCAGUCAACGGGCUGUUUCUGGCGCCAGCGCCGCGGUCCGGAGAAUGCCUGUGCCUCACCGACUGUGUGCCCCUCUUCCACAGCCACCUGGCCCUGUCCGUCAUGUUGGAGGUCGCCCUCAACCAGGUGGAUGUGUGGGGAGCACAGGCCGGUCUGGUGGUGGCUGGUUACUACCAUGCCAAUGCAGCUGUGAACGAUCAGAGCACUCAAGCAUCAAGCAGUCGUGCAUCAAGCAUCCAGCAGGCCCGAUCCCCGCAGGCCACCUACAGGGAAAGGCCACAGCUGCGCCCACACCUAUGAGACCUGGGAUGCCCAGCUCAAAUUGAUGGGUUUUGCCCACAGUUGGCUCCUCACUCCUCUGAUCUUCCCUCUACACAGCCCUGGGCCCCUGGCCUUGAAAAUUGCUGGGCGAAUUGCAGAAUUCUUCCCUGAUGCAGUACUUAUUAUG